AGAGUUUGAUCCUGGCUCAGGAUGAACGCUAGCGGCAGGCCUAAUACAUGCAAGUCGAACGAGAUAUACCGCUUCGGUGGUAUUGAAGUGGCGCACGGGUGCGUAACACGUAUGCAAUCUGCCCUUGUCAGGGGAAUAGCCCAGGGAAACUUGGAUUAAUACCCCAUAACAUUAUAGAAAGGCAUCUUUUUAUAAUCAAAGCUCCGGCGGACAAGGAUGAGCAUGCGGGACAUUAGUUUGUUGGUGAGGUAAUGGCUCACCAAGACUACGAUGUCUAGGGGUUCUGAGAGGAUUAUCCCCCACACUGGUACUGAGACACGGACCAGACUCCUACGGGAGGCAGCAGUAGGGAAUAUUGGUCAAUGGACGAAAGUCUGAACCAGCCAUGCCGCGUGCAGGAUGAAGGCCCUAUGGGUCGUAAACUGCUUUUAUGUAGGAAGAAACCCCCAUCUGCGGAUGGGGCUGACGGUACUACAAGAAUAAGGAUCGGCUAACUCCGUGCCAGCAGCCGCGGUAAUACGGAGGAUCCAAGCGUUGUCCGGAUUUAUUGGGUUUAAAGGGUGCGUAGGCGGAUUAAUAAGUCAGUGGUGAAAGCUUGCAGCUUAACUGUGAAAGUGCCAUUGAAACUGUUAGUCUUGAGUAUGGUUGAGGUAGAUGGAACGUAUCAUGUAGCGGUGAAAUGCUUAGAUAUGAUACAGAACACCAAUUGCGAAGGCAGUUUACUAAGCCAUUACUGACGCUGAGGCACGAAAGCGUGGGUAGCGAACAGGAUUAGAUACCCUGGUAGUCCACGCCGUAAACGAUGAUUACUCGAUGUUGGCGAUAUACUGUCAGUGUCCAAGCGAAAGCGUUAAGUAAUCCACCUGGGGAGUACGUCGGCAACGAUGAAACUCAAAGGAAUUGACGGGGGCCCGCACAAGCGGAGGAGCAUGUGGUUUAAUUCGAUGAUACGCGCAACCUUACCUGGACUUAAAUGUUAGUGAUCGUUACCGAAAGGUGAUUUCUCUUCGGAGCACGAAGCAAGGUGCUGCAUGGCUGUCGUCAGCUCGUGCCGUGAGGUGUUGGGUUAAGUCCCGCAACGAGCGCAACCCCUAUCUUUAGUUGCCAUCAGGUUAUGCUGGGGACUCUAAAGAGACUGCCUAUGCAAAUAGUGAGGAAGGUGGGGACGACGUCAAGUCAUCAUGGCCCUUACGUCCAGGGCUACACACGUGCUACAAUGGCAAGUACAAUGAGCAGCCAUCUCGUGAGAGAGAGCGAAUCUCAAAAAGCUUGUCUCAGUUCGGAUUGGAGUCUGCAACUCGACUCCAUGAAGGCGGAUUCGCUAGUAAUCGCAUAUCAGCAAUGAUGCGGUGAAUACGUUCCCGGGCCUUGUACACACCGCCCGUCAAGCCAUGGAAGCUGGGGGUGCCUAAAGUCCGUAACCGAAAGGAGCGGCCUAGGGCAAAACUGGUAACUAGGGCUAAGUCGGAACAAGGUA
rnacentral:rRNA from 1 species